rnacentral:rRNA from 1 species
GACGAACGCUGGCGGCGUGCUUAACACAUGCAAGUCGAACGGAAAGGCCCUGCUUUUGUGGGGUGCUCGAGUGGCGAACGGGUGAGUAACACGUGAGUAACCUGCCCUUGACUUUGGGAUAACUUCAGGAAACUGGGGCUAAUACCGGAUAGGAGCUCCUGCUGCAUGGUGGGGGUUGGAAAGUUUCGGCGGUUGGGUAUGGACUCGCGGCUUAUCAGCUUGUUGGUGGGGUAGUGGCUUACCAAGGCUUUGACGGGUAGCCGGCCGGAGAGGGUGACCGGCGACAUUGGGACUGAGAUACGGCCCAGACGCCUACGGGAGGCAGCAGUGGGGAAUAUAACACAAUGGGCGGAAGCCUGAGGAAGCAACGCCGCGUGCGGGAUGACGGCCCUCGGGUUGUAAACCGCUUUCGCCUGUGGCGAAGCGUGAGUGACGGUAAUGGGUAAAGAAGCACCGGCUAACUACGUG